CCGGGCGCGCAGUGCCGCGCGGUGGCGGCGGCGGGGAGAGCAAUGGAGGCCGCGGCCGCCUGAGGGGCGGGUGCGCUGCUGGUACUGCUGCGGAGGCUGCCGGUGCUGCGGGGCGGCUGCCGGCUUGCUCGCGUCCGCCACCCGCGCGGGACCUCCGGUCGCCGUCCAGUCGCUCCGCCAGCCACGGCGCCGGGCCCAGACUCAGGCAUUCUUGCGAUGGUUUUCCUGGUCCUGUAACCGUCAUUUCUUGCAGAGGUCUGUAGUGGUGAGAUUGGACCUCCUAACCCUACGGAUACGAUAGUUUUAAAUGAACCUUGAUGGACAAAGCAGCAAGAUUUUCAGGCUGUAUCCCUUUUGGAAGGAAAAGAGCUAAAGUGAAGAGACGUUGCUUACUCAGCCUGUGUUCUGAAGAAAGAGCGACGAGCUUUUAUUCUCUUAGCCAUGAAUGCUCCUGCCGCGCCAGCUGAGGAAGAACUCGCCAGAGUUGGCUGGUACAAAGCCAUGGCCCCAGAAUGUGGGUUUUCUGUCAGUUCUGUGAACAUUAUGGUCUUUAAUUGGCACCAAUAUAAAGGGAGAAAACCUUAGGACCAAAUUUGUUGUCUUUAUUAUUUCUUGUGGAGAUUUUUGCUUUCUCAGUCAGCACAGGCAGCUCAAAUUAACAUCUUAAAGAUGUUCACUUUAUGCAUCUUCAGAUCUAGUUUUUCUUUUUGGUCUACACAGUUCUAAGACACUGUCAGUUUGUUAUCAGUGACCUAAUGACAACUAGUAACCAAUGACUUCGUCAGGCAGCCUCUGACACUUCAAUUAAUCUCAUCAUCCAUACUAGCUAGAAAUGUGCAGGAAUUUAUCUUUUUUUUUUUAAGAUUUUAUUUAUUUAUUAGAGAGAGAGAGCACAAACAGGGGGGAGAGGGAGAGGGAAAAGCAGACUCCUCACCGAGCAAGGAGCCUGACGUGGGGCUCCAUCCCAGGACCCCAGGAUCAUGACCUGAGUGAAAGGCAGACGCUUAACCGACGGAGCCACCCAGGCAACCCCAGGAAUUUAUCUUUUUAAAGGGGUAGUGUGGAGGUUGAAAGGUGGUAUGUGAUUACUUCCAGAAGAUUGGCUUAUAAAAAUAUUUCCCGAUUACCAUUUUUCUCUGCUUUUUGUCUGUUACAAAAACCUGGUUGAUCCUGGGUACAGAGAAACAAAACAAGAUAGCAAUCUCUGAAUGGUUACCUUUGAGUGGCCAAAAU
rnacentral:lncRNA from 1 species